UUGAAACUUUGUACGAAUUAGACCUUUCAAAUAAUCAUUUCUCUGGAAAAAUUCCGGACUGUUGGAGCCAUUUCAAGUCAUUAACUUAUUUGGACUUAAGUCACAAUAAUUUUUCAGGAAGGAUACCCACAUCCAUGGGAUCUCUUCUUCAUCUUCAAGCAUUGCUAUUGAGAAACAACAACUUAACAGAUGAGAUACCUAUCUCCUUGAGGAGUUGUACAAAUCUAGUAAUGCUAGAUAUUUCAGAAAACAGAUUAUCAGGGCUUAUCCCUGCUUGGAUUGGGAGCGAAUUACAAGAGUUGCAAUUUUUAAGUUUGGGAAGAAAUAAUUUCCAUGGAAGUUUACCAUUGCAAAUUUGCUACCUAAGUGACAUUCAACUCUUGGAUGUGUCACUAAACCGCAUGUCUGGGCAAAUUCCUAAAUGCAUAAAAAAUUUUACUUCAAUGACUCAAAAGACAUCUUCAAGAGAUUAUCAAGGUCAUUCAUAUCUUGUCAAUACCAUUGGCAUUUAUUAUUAUUAUACAUAUGAUUUGAAUGCACUCUUGAUGUGGAAAGGUUCAGAACAAAUGUUCAAAAAUAAUGUGUUACUACUUUUAAAAAGCAUUGAUCUCUCAAGCAAUCACUUUUCUGGAGAAAUUCCACUGGAAAUAGAGGAUUUAUUUGGAUUGGUUUCAUUGAAUUUAUCAAGAAACCAUUUGACCGGAGCGAUUCCUUCAAAUAUUGGAAAGUUAACAUUACUUGACUUUCUUGAUUUGUCAAGAAACCAUCUAAUUGGUUCAAUUCCAUGGAGUCUUACUCAAAUUGAUCGACUCGGCGUGUUAGAUUUGUCACAUAACAAUCUAUCUGGAGAAAUUCCAACUGGUACACAAUUACAGAGUUUCAAUGCCUCAUGUUAUGAAGAUAAUCUUGAUCUUUGUGGACCGCCACUAGAGAAAUUGUGUAUUGAUGGGAAGCCUGCACAGGAACCAAUUGUUAAACUUCCUGAAGAUGAAAAUUUGCUUUUCACCCGUGAAUUUUACAUGAGUAUGGCAAUUGGAUUUGUUAUAAGCUUUUGGGGCGUUUUUGGCUCAAUCUUAAUGAAUCGUUCUUGGAGACAUGCUUAUUUCAAGUUCAUAAGCAAUUUAUCAGACGCUAUUUAUGUCAUGGUAGCAGUGAAAGUUUUCAAGUGGCGUCACAGACGAUAGCUGGUAACAAUAUUUUAGUCUUCGUAUAUAUACUUCAUUUUCCUUUAUAUGAUAAAUAUAGUCACAAACCANNNNNNNNNNNNNNNNNNNNNNNNNNNNNNNNNNNNNNNNNNNNNNNNNNNNNNNNNNNNNNNNNNNNNNNNNNNNNNNNNNNNNNNNNNNNNNNNNNNNNNNNNNNNNNNNNNNNNNNNNNNNNNNNNNNNNNNNNNNNNNNNNNNNNNNNNNNNNNNNNNNNNNNNNNNNNNNNNNNNNNNNNNNNNNNNNNNNNNNNNNNNNNNNNNNNNNNNNNNNNNNNNNNNNNNNNNNNNNNNNNNNNNNNNNNNNNNNNNNNNNNNNNNNNNNNNNNNNNNNNNNNNNNNNNNNNNNNNNNNNNNNNNNNNNNNNNNNNNNNNNNNNNNNNNNNNNNNNNNNNNNNNNNNNNNNNNNNNNNNNNNNNNNNNNNNNNNNNNAAAUCUUGAUAUUUUAAAAACCAUCUUUUAGAAUUUUGUUAAUACUGUAAUAUAAUCAAUUUUUGAUAAAUAUUUUUCUAAAAAGUAUAUAAUAAGUUCAAAGAGUCUAAUUACUAAUUAGUAUUAACUUCAAUGUGUUGAAGUUUUACAUGGGAAUCUAUUAAUAUUAAUAUAUUUAAUUUUAUUUAUUUUUAUACCAUUUCAUAUUAGUUAAAUAAAUUAAAGAAAUGAUUAUUAAUAUUGUUAUAUUAAAUUGAGUAGGUUAUAAAACUUCUUUACACUAACAUUUCAUAUUAAACAAAUCAAAAUACUUUUACCUAUUUUCUAAUCCCAAAAUAAUAGCUACAUACAAAUAAAGUAUAUUGUUUUUCUUGAUAUAUAUUUUUCCUCCUUAUAAAUACUUUUACCUAUUUUCUAUCUCACGUUCUACUUUUUGAUAUAGCUUUUAGUGUUGGUGAUUUUCUUGGCAUUCCAAUUUUUUCUCUAUUCUUUUAUUAUUUCUAGUUGAGGACAAAUUUUGAAGGAUCGAUAUUUUAAUUUUUGGCAGAAAAAUUCUGAAUUGUAGGUGCCAGCUUGUUGAGGUGGAAAAUGCAAAGAGACACUUUUAAUUUGGAGGUGAGAAGGCAUCUCUCACAGUUGGAUUUGGAGACCGAGAGAGAAUUAAGGAAGGCUUCUAGAGCUUGAGGGAGCCAAUUGUGAUUGUGAUCCAUCUAGUUUAUUUUCCUUUUUAAUUUCUAAGCAUUUUGUUUGUAGUUUGGCCUUUAAAUCUGAACUGGUUGUUUUGUAUGAAGUUGAUGAAUCUUCAUAAUAAUGGGAACUGAGAGGUUUGGUUAUUGCUUCUUCAUUUUUGGGUCAUGCUAUUUGAUUAUGUAGAAAUAGAAAACCGUGUUUGAUCUAGGGAUUUUGUGUUGCUUUUGUACAUUAGUCUCAUGAUUUCAUUUAAGGAAUUAAGUUAUAUGAGAUUAAAAGGAUUCAUUGCCAAGGAAUUGAAUGUCAAUUACCGCUGCAAAAACUGAUCUUAAACUUGGGCAAAGUUGUUUGGACUAGGUGGAAAUUGGGUUGUUACUUCAACAAUCCGUAAAAUCAAAACUUAACUGUGACAGGUGUGAGCACUAUGUCCCUUCUUUGAGCAGAGUUGGCAAAUACACACUUGAGAUACAUCUCAUAGUUCUGCAAUUUAACAAAUACCUCAUCAAAAGAGGGCAAGGUGCUUUGCCAAUGACAUAGCCUUCAAGGUCACGAAUAAGCUUAGACUGAUACCAUAUAGAGAAUGAAUAAGUUGUUUAUUUUAAACACAAUUUGAAUACAAGGCAGCAACAUUUAUAAAGUUGUCUGUUACAGUUAGAUAAGAUAGAAGUUUUCUAAUUUUAAUUAUUAAGCAGUACAGUUGCACAAUCAAUUUACAAAAUUCUGAUUAUAUAAUACAGCAUACCUAAAAUGUUUGGUGUAAAAUAUUCCUACUUCCUACAAAGCCAUUGCAUCUUCCAAAACCAUGCAUGACAUAAUAUAAAUCCCCUAACACAGGUGCUCAUUUGUUUGUAGACAACCCAAACGAAAACUGAGAACCCAUUCCCAAACAUAGUGCAUGACGAUCCACACGUCCUUUAGAGAAGAUGUGUGUGGUAGAACUUGUGAUUUUCUGGGAAUCAUGAUAUCCCUGUGACAUUUGGGAUAUAGUGAGACAUUUGGGCAUGCUUUGAGUUCAACAUCUCUGAUGAAGGACUUCUUUCUUUGUUAAAGGUAUCAUUGAGGAUGAAUGGUCACAAAUCCAAAAAUAAAUGUAGCAUUCCACAAUCUAAAGGAAGUAAGUGAGCUGUUGUUUCUUCCUCGAACCUCCUUCACCAUACAAAUCAUUCCAGUGCUUCAACUCAUUCAUUACAGAUCCUUCUGAUGCAAAACUUGCAGCCUCUUGCAUUUAAUCAGAUAUCCGUAAGUUCAUGAAUUUACAAAGUUUACCGCAAACCCAACAUCUUUUUUAAAGAGGCAAAAAUACUCAAAUAAAUAAUCACUCAAUUUAUCUUUUUUAUGUUUCAUGCAUCUUAUGUUGGGUUUCUGACUUAUUUGAUGGUGUUUGAAUAACAUGUGAGUAAAUUUUGCUAAUGUUGUGGUAGGUCUCCAACUUUCUUUACUUGGUAACGUUUAUCACAACCAAAAUCUUUUCUGAAAAGGGAGUCAAAAUGUUCAAAUAAAUGAGCAUUCAAUUCUUUUUUUUUUCCUGAAUGAAUAUUACACAUUACUCGAAUCGUUUUAAUGCUUUAAGCGAUUCUCUCUAUUAUAUUUUUUAAAAUUCAAUAUCAUUUCAAGGUUUAACACUUUAACGACUCUUAUUCACACAAUUAAAUACAAAUCAUUCAAAAAAAGAUAAAAUCAACCAACACACAAGUUAUUUUUUACCCAAAGAACUACAUAAGUCUGAUUUUCUCAUUACACAUGAGGAUAUGUAUGAAUAAGGGAAAACCCCUUGUUGACCUAAAACACUAGGAAAAAAAAUAUGAAAUUUCCUCUUUACUAAAAAUAAAAAUUUGUUUUAAUUUUUAAAUUAAACAAAAUAUAGCAAACAUAAUUCAUGUUCUAAAGGGAAGAUAAAUAAUUAAGAAGUCGCUUUUAUUUUUAUUAGACUAAAUUAAAGGUUGUCAUCUUCAUGACGGAUAAGUGAGGUGUUAAUACCUUUCACGUAAAUAAUUUUUGAAUCCUUUUUUUUUCUCAAAUUGUAAAUCAUUUCAUAUUUUUUUUUUGCUUUUUUAACGUUUUCCUUAAAUAAACGUUGAUGACGACUUCUCAAUUUUCUUUUGAAAAACUCACUUGACUGCCACAUUGGGACAAUGACAAUAUUAUUUACAAAAGAAAUAAUAAUAAUAAUAAUGAUAAUAUGUUGUGGAAAACAUAAAUCAUAUUUCUUUUUUUUAAAGAAAAUAAAUUCAUAUUUUUUGUUUUCAGUGUUACUUACAAAAAUGCUACUUUUGAGUCCUAUUCUCAAAAUUUUAAAUAAGAGAGAAAAAUGUUGUAAAAAAGUAUACCAAAAAAGUUAUAAUUUUUUAUUCAAAAAAGAUAAGAUGUUACUUCCAUGUUUGGUUUGGUUUAAAAUAAAAAUUAUGAAACUUAAAAACUGAUUAUCAAAAAAUAACAAUAGGUUUGGGGAGUAGGCUCAUGCAUCGAUCAGUAAUAAAGAAAAAGCCAACACCUAUCAAAUUCUAAUUCAGAAUGUAAACAAAACUAAACCUGGAUUGGAUUAGAAAAAAAAUACUCAAACUAAAGUAAAAUCGUCGUUCAAGUAUAUAGUAUACACAUCUAGAGAAUCAGCACCAAAGUUUCAAGAUACAACCAUUAAGUUAGUUCCGGUUCAAGUUGUCAUUUCAGCAAACACUAUAAUUUUCAAAAGCAAAAACAAUUCUCCCUAAUUACCACCAAGUUUGGUUGGUGACAAAACUUAUAAGUUUGAAUGGUUUAAGACUUAGGAUUUUUUUCUGUGCAAGAUAUCAAGAUCAAUAAAUAUUGUCUGAAUUAUGAAUUAUAUACUAUCACAGAUUUAAUAAUAAAGUAGUCUUAUCAUUCUUAUAAUUAAAAGAAAAAAAUAUGUUAUCUUUUAUUUUUUAUAUAAAAGACCGUACGUAGGUAGUAUAUUAUACAGAACUUACAUAAGCACCACUUUUGUUGACACAGAAUUCCUUCAAAAGAAAUUAUCAAUCAAAAUCAAUGAAGUAAUAGUCUGUAUAUUACGUUAGCAAAAUAUAGACAAAGGUCAAUGUGGGUAUCUUGCGAAUUUUCUAAGUCUUUUUGUUUUGUUCCCAAGUACAAAGUCUAUUUAUGGGUCAUGUCACUUCACAAAAUUUUCCACAUUUGUUGUUUAGCGCAAUGACUGGAAUCUUAAAUUCUAAGUCUUUAUGGUUUUGUUUGGUUCCUACAUAGUCAUAUAAAUGGUCAUGUCACUAUAAAAAAAAUUUCACAUCUAUUAUUUUUGUAGGUAGUGCGAUGACUGGAGUAUUUUCUACGUCUUUCUUUGUUUUGUUCCAAUGGAGUCGUGUAAGGACCAUAUUACUUAUAAAAAAAUUUUAUACUUAAUUGUUUUUUAUGUAAUGUGAUGUUGAUUGGAGUGCUUCUUAAGUCUUUCUUUGUUUUGUUUCCGGAAAGUCAUACAAGGGCAUGCCACUUAAUAAAAAUUAAUUUCCAAUUCUCUGUUUGCAAAGUCAAUAAAUUUAUUCUAGAUGAAGAUAUAUAAUCACAGAACAUUUAGGAAAGCUACACAAAUGGAUGAGAAGAUUUAGAAGUUGUUGCGGAAGAUGCUGUAAAGGAAAAUACUUGAGGAAGCUCUGUUAUGAAUUAAAAUUAAAAAUGAGACCAAAUAAAUUCAGACACGACAUAGGCUUCUCUUGGUAUUUUUUAAUUUGUUAAGUAUGAGGAAUACUUUGUAAUUAACAUAUUCUGAAUCCAACAUAUAGCAAAAAUUGAUGAAAUAGAAGAUUCCUCCCUGUGACGUAAUAGAACUGCAAAUGAUGUAACUAUGAUAAGUCUUAUGGCACAAAAUAUUAAUAUGAACACGUACUCAAUUUGUAAUUCCUUAGAGAUUAAGGUGUAUAUAUAUUUCCAAAAAAAAUGUCAAGGGAGGUUAAAAAGAAAAAGAAAGGGGUGUAUAUAUAUUAAGUUUUAAUCUCAAUGAUAUAUUAUUUUUAAUCUUAAACCAAUAUUUUUUAUUUUUUUUUUCAAUUUUAGUCUUCAAACUGAUCUUUCUCUUAAGAUUAUGAUAUGACUCAUCUCCACUCAAACAAAUAAUACACACAAUAGACUUUAUUUUGAAUCUUUCUCCCCACACAGACAGAAAAAAAAAAAGGCUCACACCAUUCACAUUUUUACAUGUAUAAUAGAAUAUAGUGGCUUUUUCCAAUUUUUGAAUGUCAUUACUCUUUUUAAGUACGAUAUUCUAUUAGCUAUGUUUGUCAAUCAUAUAUUAUUUUCAUGAAAAAUUGAUGAUAUAUUUUUUCAAGUCCUAUUAAUUAAUAAAUUUAUUCUAUAUUUGAUAUUUGAUAUAUUGAUGUAUAGUAAUAAUAAAAUUAUAGCCAAUUAAGAAUUUUAAAAAUUGUAGAAAGUAUUGAUUUUUGGUGUGAAUGGAAUUGUUUUAAUAUAUUGAAUAUUUUAGUUUUUCUCUCAAUAUUCUCUUCUUCCUUUUUUUGAAUAUAUAUAUAUAUAUAUAUAUAUAUAUAUAUAUAUAUAUAUAUAUAUAUAUAUAUAUAUAUUCUUCUUCCUUAAGAACAUGAACAUGCUCACUUUAAUAAAAAAAAAUUAUUUAUGGGUCUAUUGAUAUCUGGGGCAAAUAGAUUAAUUAACUUUAGAUUUGAAUGUCCUCUUCAAGUAUGAUAUACUUUUUUAAACCUAAUUUUUUCUUCUUCAAUAAGAACAUGGUCACUUUUUCCAACUAAACCCAAUUUGAAUGCCAAUUCAAGCACGGUAUGAUUUUAAUGUCAAUUACAUAUAAUUUGAAGUCCUGCACUUGUUUAGGAUGAUUUGGAUGAAAAUAAAUUGGGAAGAAGUGAAGGAAAAUGAUAUGGAAACUUUUGGUUUAGAUGGGAUGGAAAUUAAAAUGAAGUAAAAAUAAAUUUAUUGGAGUCCAAAAAAAAAUCCUCAAAAACAGUGGUGAAAUGGAGGAUUAUGUUUGAAGUAAUAUUAAUUUUACGGGAGGAUUCCUAAAUAAUAUAAAAUUCACUCAUUUUUUUUCAUUUUUAUUUAUCCAAAAAAAAAGAUAAAUUUUCCACUUCGUUUCUCUCUUAUUUCUAUCUUUUUUUUCUCUUUCAUUUUUUUCUAUUUCAUCUCUAAUCCAAAUAAAGUGCAAAAGUAACGGAUGAGUUAAUCUUUUUAAAAGUUUUUUUUUCUUUCAAAGUGCUAUUUUUUGCUUUCAUAAAUUGCAAAUUUUGUGCUUAUUAAUUUUCUAAUUAUUUUAAAUAUGAAAUUGCAUUACGAUAUACGAUCAACUUUGUGUGACUUGUUGACUGGAGACUUUUCCAAGUCUCCCCUUGAUAUAUAUCGUUUAGAAUGUUACAUUAUUUUUAAGUCUUUUUUAUUUAUUUAUUUGGUUAUAUAUUAAAUUGAAAAAUAAAAAGAAAAGUGGGAACUUAACUAGGAACUGUGCUGUUGUUGUGUGGGAACCUAAGUACAUUUUAGCAUCUUUAAACUGAAAACAAUUUAGUCAAAAUGCGUAACAAAAUAUAGGUCAAGUAAUUAGUGGACAAAAUCUUGCUGUCACCAUAGAUUUAGGUUGUAUUUAGGUCAAUUACUUAAAAUAUUGUUAAUUGAUAGUUGAAACUUUAGAUGAAAUUAAAAAGUUUGAAUUAUUCUAAAAAUAGUUGUGGUAGAAGCAAACAUGACCACAGAAGUCCUAACUAUUAUUUAGACGUGUUAUAGUACCACCAAUACGAGGUCUGAUUGGAAAUUAGCUGUGUGUCGAACCCAUCUCAUAGCGUGCAUGCGUGCUCCAAAUCUCUUUAACAAAUUAAAUACCAAGCUUUUUUUAUCCAAUUUCUUCUUUUUUAUCUUUUGUUUAUCCGUAAGAAUCAAAGAUAAUAACAAAAGAUAUAUAAUAAUUUAUAAAUCUUAUUCAACCAGCUAAACUAAAUCCCCUAGCUAUCCAAAUCCGUUUAACUUUUAAAUAACAAAAUAAAAGUUAUACACACUUUUAUAUUUCAACAUUUUUACCAUUAUUCAUAGUUUUAGUUACUUGUUUAUAUUUUAGAAACGUCAUAAUACUUACGUCUUUUGCUUUUAUAUUUAUAACAUAAAUAUAUAGAAUAUAACAUGUAUAAUAUAAAUAAUAUAAAAAGAGCUGAUAAUUUAAAAAAACGGGAAAGAAAUAAUUAUAAAAUAAACAUAACUAAUCAGACUAUUUGCAUCAAAAGAAAUUAUUUGAAUAUAUUUUACAUACUUGGAAGAAUUUAUGAGUGGCCCAACCGUUGAGAAAUGUGACUUCCAUUAACCAUCCCGAUGUUAUAUAUAUGCAUUCCUAUUGGCAGUGCUAAAGUCAUCAGUAUCAUUCUAAUUCUCAUAUUCAGUGGAUUCAUUUCAUCAAUCACUUUGCCUUUCUGAUCAUAAUCACCAAAAUGCCAACCAUGAAUCCAGUUCGUUUCAAAUACAUGCAAGCCAUAAUAAUAUUUAUGAUGUUGCAGGUUCGUUCAUGUUUUCUCAUUUGAAUGUAUUUGUGAAAAUCGCAAUUCAAAUCUCAUUUGAUUUCAAUGAAUUUCAAUUUCCUUAAAUUUUUAUUCAGUUUUGUCAUUUUUUUCUUCUUAAAAUAGAUCAUUCUCCUAUGUUUUGUUCAUUGUUUUUUGGGUUCAUAAUGUUUCGGAUUGAAUUAGAGGUUGAAGCACCGUUUGUUUUGCCCCCUUAUUUUUUGUUUUCAAGGUUGAACCAUGGUAUAUGUAGAUGUUGAACCAUCAAAUAUGAUAGUGGCAACAAGACAUAAAUAGUGAUGACAAAGAUAAUGACAACAAUAAUAAAGACAAGGAUAAUAAUAAUAUUACAUUCUAUGUUUAUAAUUAAGUUUUAAUUUCAAUGAUAUAUUAUUUUUAAUUUUAAUUCAAUAAUUUCAAUGAUAUAUUAUUUUUAAUCUUAAUUCAAUAAUUUUCAUUUUUUCCCAUUUUAACCUUCAAAAUGAUCUUUCUCUUAAGAUUCUAAUAUAAUCCAUUUUGACUUAAACAAAUGAAAGAUACAAUAAAUUUUAUUUUCAAUCUUUCUCUUCGUACGCACACACAAAAAAGGCUCACACCAUGCAUACACUUUUUUAUGUGUAGAGUAGAAUAUAGUGGCUUUUUCCAAUUUUUGAAUGUCAUUACUCUUUUUAAGUUCUAUUAGCUAUAUUUGUCAAUCAUACAUUAUUUUCAUGACAAAUUGAUGAUAUAUUUUUUCAAAUCAUCCCUUGAAAGUGUCAUAGUAUUAAUUUUUUAUUAUAUUAAGGAGUACAUAUUUUGGUUGAUAUAUAAGACAAAUAUAAAAUUGAUAUUAAGAAAUUUAUUUUAUACUUGAUAUUUAAUAUAUUGAUGUAUAGGAAUAAUGAAAUUAUAGCCAAUUAAGAAUUUUAAAAAUUAUAGAAAGUAUUGGGUUUUGGUGUGAAUUUAAUUGGAAUUGAAUUGUUUCAAUUUAUUGAAUAAUUUAGUUCUUUUUUCUCAAUAUUCUCUUCUUCAUUUUUUUAAAGCAUUUAUGUAUAUAUAUAUAUAUAUAUAUUNNNNNNNNNNNNNNNNNNNNNNNNNNNNNNNNNNNNNNNNNNNNNNNNNNNNNNNNNNNNNNNNNNNNNNNNNNNNNNNNNNNNNNNNNNNNNNNNNNNNAAAAAAUCAUUUAUGGGUCUAUGGUAUCUAGGACAAAUAGAUUAAUUAACUUUAAAUUGAAUGUCCUCUUCAAGCAUGGUAUUUGUUUUUAAACCCAAUUUCCUCUUCUUUGUUAAGAACAUGGUCACUUUCUUCAACUAAACCUACUUUGAAUGCCACUUCAAAAACGUUAUGAUUUUAUUGUCAAUUACAUAUAAUUUGAAGUCCUCCACUAGGAUCAUUUGGAAGGAAAUAAAUUGGGAUGAAGUGAGGAACUUUUGGUUUAGAUGGACUGAAAAUAAAAUGAAGUAAAACAAAUUUAGUGGGGUAAAAAAAAUGAAAUGGGAACUUUUGAUUUAGAUGGGAUGGAAAUGAAAAUGAAGUAAAAACAAAUUUAGUGGGGUCCAAAAAAAAAUUGAUUCCUCAAAAAUAGUGGUAAAAUGGGAGGAUUUUGUGAGAAGCAAUAUUAAUUUUAUGGGAGGGUUCUUAAAAAAAACACUCAUUUUUUACUAUUUCUAUUUAAACAAUAUAAAUUCUCUACCUUGUUUCUCUUUUAUUUCUAUCUUUUUUUCUCUUUCAUUUUUCUCUAUUUCAUCUCUAAUCCAAACAAAGUGCAAAAGUUACGGAUGAGUAAUCUUUUUAGUUUUUUUUAAAACCUUUUUUUUUGCAACUUCUUGACUGGAGACUUUUCCAAGUCUUCCCUUGAUAUAUAUCGUUUAGAAUGCUACAUUAUUUUUAUUUAAUUGGUUAAAUAUUAAAUUGGAAAAUAAAAGAAAAAUGGAAACAUAAACAGCAAUUGUGUCAUUGUUGUGUAGUGAUCGUCACUUUUACUCAUAAGAAUAUAUAUAUAUAUAUAUAUUUUUUUUACUAAAGUACAUUUUAGCAUCUUUAAACUGAAAAUCUUUCAGUCAAAAUGCAUAACAAAAUAUGGGUCAAGUAAUUAGUGCACAAAGUCUUGCUCAUAAUUUUUGCCACCAUAGAUUCAGGUUGUGUUUCGGACUAUUACUUAAAAUAUUGUUAAUUGAUAGUUAAAAUUGUAGAUGAAAUUAUAAAGUUUGAAAGUUGAAAAGUUAAAAACUGAAAGCUGAAAAUAUAUAAGCCAAUGGAUUCAAUUAUAUUUGAAGUAUUUUAUAAUAUUAUCUAAUAAAUAAAUUUUCUCCUAACUUCUCUUUUAAAUAUAUACCAAUUUUAUUGGUUAAUGUUUGUAAAAAAAUAAUAUGAACUAAUAAAAUUGUUACAUAUUUAAAAGAGAAGUUAGGAACAAAAUUUAUUUUAAAAUUAAAAUAAAAAUUCAAUGGCUUUUGGAUGAAAGUUUUCGUUCAAAAAUUUCCCUUAAAAUAAUUAUUUUUCUAAAGUAGUUGUGGUAGAAGCAAACAGAAGUCAUAAUUAUUAUUUAGAAGUGUUGUAUGCCGAACCCAUCUCAUAGCGGCCAUGUUUAUAUGCUUCAAAUCUUUUCAGCAAAUUAAAUACCAAGCUAAGAUUUUUCUUUUAUCCAAUUCUCCCCUUCUUCUCCUUUAUUUUUUUUAUCUAUUGAAAUCAAAGAUAAUAUCAAAAAAUUUAUAUUAAUUUCCAACUAAUUAAAUUAACCCCCUAGACUAUUCAAAUUAUUUUAACUUUUAAAUAACAAAAUAAAAGUUAUACACACAUUUAUAUUCAAACAUUUUUACCAAUAUUCAUAGUUUUAGUUACUUGUUUAAAUUUUUAAAAUGUCAUAAUAAUUACUUCUUUUGCUUUUAUAUUUAUAACAUAAAUGCAUAGAAUAUAACAUGUUUAAUAUAAAUAAUAAAAAAGGAGCUGAUAGAAUAUUAAAAAAGCGGGAAAGAAAUAAUUAUAAAAUCAACAUAACUAAUCAAACUAUUUGGGUCAAAAGAAAUUAUUUGAAUAUAUUUUUCAUACUUGCGUAAAAUUUAUAUUAGUAAAUUUAGAGGAAAUACAAAAUUAUUUUAACUAAUUUCCAUAAAUUUUAUUGAAGAGUUUUUUUUAUAUAUUUUAUCCGUGUAUUACAAAUUUUUUAAAAUUAAAUAUCCUAAAAGGAUUUUUUUUAUUAAAAGUAUGAAUAUCUAAAACUUUUUUUUACUGUUAUUUAUUAAAAGUAAAAAAUAAACUCCAGUUGGUUUGAAAUUCAUGGAAGGCAUAAUAAUAUUAAUGAUGUUGCAGGUUGUUGUUUCUGCUCAAGACCAUAUUAUGUGCAUUCAGACUGAGAGGGAAGCACUCCUCCAAUUCAAGGCUGCCCUUGUGGAUGACUAUGGCAUGCUCUCUUCUUGGACCACUUCUGAUUGCUGCCAAUGGCAAGGGAUUCGCUGCUCCAACCUCACCGGCCAUGUUCUAAUGCUCGACCUUCACGGUCAGCUUAGAUUUUCACAUGCCUUCGCUGAUGAUAUCACUGAUAUUGGCUGGCAACGUUAUAUGAGAGGAGACAUCCACAAGUCGUUGAUGGAGUUGCAACAAUUAAAGUAUUUAAACCUCAGUUGGAAUUCUUUUCAAGGCAGAGGAAUCCCAGAGUUUCUUGGUUCUCUCACCAACUUGAGAUACCUUGAUCUGGAAUAUUGUCGUUUUGGCGGAAAAAUUCCAACUCAGUUUGGCUCUCUUUCUCAUUUGAAAUACUUAAAUCUUGCUUUGAAUUCUCUGGAGGGUUCAAUCCCUCGUCAACUUGGAAAUCUCUCCCAGUUGCAGCAUCUUGAUCUCAGCGCCAAUCAUUUUGAAGGAAAUAUACCCUCUCAAAUUGGAAAUCUCUCCCAGUUGCUGCAUCUUGAUCUCAGCUACAAUUCUUUUGAAGGAAGUAUACCGUCCCAACUUGGGAACCUUUCAAAUUUGCAGAAGCUUUAUCUUGGAGGAUCACAUUAUUAUGAUGAUGCUUAUGGUGGUGCUCUCAAAAUUGACGAUGGAGAUCAUUGGGUGUCUAAUCUCAUUUCUUUAACCCAUCUUUCCUUGGUCUUCAUAUCUAAUCUCAACACUUCUCAUAGCUUCCUCCAAAUGAUUGCCAAGCUACCAACACUUAGAGAACUGAGUUUAAGUGAAUGUAGCCUUUCCGAUCAGUUUAUCCUUUCAUUGAGGCCCUCCAAAUUCAAUUUUUCUAGUUCCCUUUCCAUCCUUGAUCUUUCCUGGAACAGCUUCACGUCAUCAAUGAUACUCCAGUGGCUGUCCAACGUCACUUCCAACCUUGUUGAGCUUCACCUUAGUUAUAACCUCUUGGAGGGUUCCACAUCAUCAAAUCAUUUUGGCAUUGUCUUGAAUUCACUUCAGCACCUUGACCUUAGUUAUAACCUCUUGGAGGGUUCCACAUCAUCAAAUCAUUUUGGCAUUGUCUUGAAUUCACUUCAGCACCUUGACCUUAGUCAUAACCUCUUGGAGGGUUCCAUAUCAAACCAUUUUGGCCGUGUAAUGAAUUCUCUUGAGCACCUCGACCUCUCAUAUAAUAUAUUCAAGGGUGAGGAUUUCAAAUCCUUCGCGAAUAUAUGCACCUUACAUUCUUUAUACAUGCCAGCAAACCUUUUGACUGAAGACCUUCCAUCAAUCCUUCAUAAUUUGUCUAGUGGUUGUGUUAGACACUCAUUACAAGAUUUGGAUUUGUCAGAUAAUCAAAUCACCGGCUCUUUACCCGACCUUUCAGUAUUCUCAUCUCUAAGAUCAUUGUUUCUUGAUGGAAAUAAAUUAAGUGGAAAGAUACCUGAAGGCAUCCGCUUACCAUUUCAUUUGAAAUCUCUGUCAAUCCAAUCAAACUCUUUAGAAGGUGGAAUUCCCAAAUCAUUUGGGAACUCAUGUGCUUUGAGCUCACUGGAUAUGUCUGGUAACAAUUUGAAUAAAGAGCUUUCGGUGAUAAUUCAUCAAUUGUCUGGGUGUGCCAGAUUCUCGCUGCAAGAAUUGAACAUAGGAGGAAAUCAAAUCAAUGGUACGCUUUCUGAGCUUUCAAUAUUCUCUGCCUUGAAAACAUUGGAUCUUUCAGAAAAUCAAUUAAAUGGAAAAAUUCCAGAGAGUACCAAAUUGCCAUCUCUGUUAGAGUCUUUGUCAAUUGGAUCAAACUCUUUAGAAGGUGGAAUUCCCAAAUCAUUUGGGGAUGCAUGUGCUUUGUGCUCAUUGGACAUGUCUAAUAAUAGCUUGAGUGAAGAGUUUCCAAUGAUAAUCCAUCACUUGUCUGGAUGUGCUAGAUAUUCAUUGGAAAGAUUAGAUCUAGGCAUGAAUCAAAUCAACGGCACACUACCCGACCUCUCAAUAUUCUCAUCUUUAAGAGAAUUAAAUCUUGAUGGAAACAAGCUAUAUGGAGAGAUUCCUAAAGAUUAUAAAUUUCCACCUCAACUGGAGAGACUAGAUAUGCAAUCAAAUUUCUUAAAGGGUGUGCUCACUGACUAUCAUUUCGCUAAUAUGUCAAAAUUAGACAUAUUGGAGUUAUCUGACAACUCUUUAGUGACCUUGGCAUUUAGCCAAAAUUGGGUCCCACCAUUUCAGUUGCGCUUCAUAGGAUUGCGAUCCUGCCAGCUAGGUCCAGUAUUUCCCAAAUGGUUGAAGACACAAAAUCAAUUUCAGGGUAUUGACAUUUCAAAUGCUGGAAUAGCAGAUAUGGUUCCAAAGUGGUUUUGGGAUAAUUUAGCAUUCCGAGAAUGGAUUUCAAUGAAUAUUUCAUACAAUAAUCUCCAUGGUAUAAUUCCAAAUUUUCCAAUAAGGAAUAUUCAACAUUCCCUAAUUCUUGGAUCAAAUCAAUUUGACGGCCCUAUUCCACCAUUUCUGCGAGGUUUCCUGUUUCUUGAUUUAUCCAAAAAUAAAUUCUCAGAUUCUCUUUCAUUUUUAUGUGUGAAUGUUAAAGUUGAAACUUUGUACCAAUUAGACCUUUCAAAUAAUCGUUUCUCUGGAAAAAUUCCGGACUGUUGGAGCCAUUUCAAGUCAUUAAUUUAUUUGGACUUAAGUCACAAUAAUUUUUCAGGAAGGAUACCCACAUCCAUGGGAUCUCUUCUUCAGCUUCAAGCAUUGCUAUUGAGAAACAACAACUUAACAGAUGAGAUACCUUUCUCCUUGAGGAGUUGUACAAAUCUAGUAAUGCUAGAUAUUGCAGAAAACAGAUUAUCAGGGCUUAUCCCUGCUUGGAUUGGGAGCGAAUUACAAGAGUUGCAAUUUUUAAGUUUGGGAAGAAAUAAUUUCCAUGGAAGUUUACCAUUGCCAAUUUGCUACCUAAGCGACAUUCAACUCUUGGAUGUCUCACUAAACAGCAUGUCUGGGCAAAUUCCUAAAUGCAUAAAAAAUUUUACUUCAAUGACUCAAAAGACAUCU
rnacentral:lncRNA from 1 species